ACCUUUUUUAAGAUGGCCGCGCCCACUGUGGUUGUGUAGCUUGGUACGUAGAAGAGACAAAGUGGAAGUGGACAUCUUUGGGGUUGCGGCGCCUUUCUGGGUUGAGACCCGGGUCUCCCCGGAGAUGGGCUAGAGCACGCGCACUGCCCUGUGCGACAUUGCGAUUGGCGUUAAGCCGACAAGUUUUGGGGGGCAGGAAAAGUGGUUGUACGGCAGAUCUUCCAAGAUGGCGGUUCCCACCGCCAGGGCGCUGCCAUACUCUGUCACAGUGUCUUUGUCUAAAAGACGUGAAAGCUAAAGGGAAUCUUCGUCGAUCGAAGGUUGGCGGCCUACAGACUCGAAUGCUACGGAAGCUAAACUCGAUUUCCGAGGAGGAACAGCUAAGUUUGUGAAUCAGCUGGUGCACGAAGGAUCUACUUGGGGGGUCCUGGCUUCCUGGGAUAAAACAGUUCCAAUGAGGGAAGGAACCAAGAUCAACGUUAAUCCUUGACUGGAGACUUCGUACUAGAGCUUCAGGAAGAGCCCAGAAUCAACAAUAGAGCAGACAUUACAGUGGUUGGAGAUCCCUAAAGGCUCCAGAAAAUGUCCAAUUCCCAAGGCUCACUGUCAUUCAAGGAUGUGGCUGUGGUUUUCACCUGGGAGGAGUGGCAGCUACUGGACCCCAUUCAGAAGAACCUGUAUCAAGAUGUGAUGUUGGAAAAUUAUAUCAACCUAGUAUCCAUGGGCCUUGCAUGCCAAGUGUUUGGGACCAUGGAUCCUCUAUAAUUUUCCUUGAGUAGGGUAUCAAGUUACCAACACAGAUUCAUUCUACCAGUUGGAGCAAGAAAGGCCAUGGAUAAUAGAGGAAGAAAUUCAGAAUCAGAUUCAUCCAGAAGAUGCCUGGCAAGUUGAUAAUCACAGAGACUGGCACAAAGGAAACCAUGGCAACCUGGAAACUAUGGAAAAUCACCAAAAAGAGAAUGCAUUUGGAAAAAUAUCUUCUCUGAGCUUAAACCUUGAUGUGUCUUUAGCACAAAUAUCUCAUACAUUUGACAUACUUGAGAAACAUCUGAAACCCAAUCUACAGUAUAUUAUUCAGAAUAAAGGCCAUUUAAGAAAUGAAAUUGACUUUAACCAAUAUGACAAAUUAUUUCUUUAUACUAAGUAUGAGAAAAUUCAUACUGGACAAAAAUACAGUGAAUUUAAUGGGCAUGUAAAGGCUUUCAGACAUCAUCAUGAGUCUCAGCUUAUUAAACACUGGAAAAGUCAAACAGCAGAGAAACACUGUAUCGGCAGUGACUGUGGGAAAGCCUUUUCCCAGAAGUCAGACCUCAUUAAGCAUCAUAGAGCACACAGAGGAGAGAAACCUUAUGGAUGCAGUAGAUGUCAGAAAGCCUUCAGCCAGAAGUCCCAUCUCAUUCUACACCAGAGAACCCAUAUGGGAGAGAAACCUUAUGAAUGUAACAAAUGCGGGAAAGCCUUUACUGAUAAGUCAUGCCUUAAUAAACAUCAGAGAACUCACACAAGAGAGAAACGAUUUGAGUGUCGAGUAUGUCAGACAGGCUUCAGUGAUAAGUCACAACUCACUUUACAUCAAAGAACUCAUACAGGAGAGAAACCCUACAGAUGUGGUGAAUGUCAGAAAAGCUUCAGCAAUAAGUCACAGCUCAUUAUUCACCAGAGAUCUCACACGGGAGAGAAGCCCUAUGGUUGCAAAGAGUGUGGGAAAACAUUUCCCCUUAAGUUUAGUCUCAUUUUACAUCAAAAAACGCAUACAGGGGAAAAACCCUAUGGAUGCAAUGAAUGUGGGAAAGCCUUCAUCCAGAGAUCUGAGCUCAUUAGACAUCAGAGAACUCACACAGGAGCGAAACCUUACAAUUGCAGUGAAUGUGGGAAAGGCUUUAGUGUAAAGUCACUCCUCAAUACUCACUGGAGAACUCAUACAGGAGAGAAGCCCUAUGGAUGCCAUGAAUGUGGAAAAACAUUCUCCAUCAAAUUUAGUCUCAUACUACACCAGAGGACUCAUACAGGGGAGAAACCCUAUGAAUGCAGUCAGUGUCAGAAAGCUUUCACUCAAAAGUCACAUCUCACUAUUCAUCAGAGGUCUCACACCGGAGAGAAAGCUCAUGAAUGCAGUGAGUGCCACAAGGCCUUCAGCCGGAAGUCAUAUCUCCUCAUUCAUCAGAGAAUUCACUCUGGAGAGAAACCUUAUGAAUGCCACGAAUGUGGAAAGACUUUCUCUCACAAGUUUAGUCUCAUCAUUCAUCAGAGAAUCCAUACAGGAGAGAAACCAUAUGGAUGCAGUGAAUGUGGGAAAACUUUUCCUAUCAAGUUUAGCCUUGUGUUACAUCAGCAAACACACACAGGAAAGAAACCCCAUGAAUGCAACCAAUGUCAGAAGUCUUUUGCCCAGAAGUCACAUCUUAUUAUACAUCAAAGAACUCACACUGGUGAGAAGCCUUAUGGAUGCAGUCAAUGUGGGAAAACUUUCUCCCACAAAUUCAGCCUCCUUUUACAUCAGAAAACUCAUAGAGAGAAGUCAUGAAUAAAAUACAUACCCAAAAGUUGUCAUUGAGAAGGAAUAGCUCAUUACAUCCCAGAGUUUACACAGGAGUGGAACCUUAAGACAGCAGCAGAUGUGGACAUGUCUUCAUAUUCACACUUUAUUACUGAGAGAAUGGCACUGCAUAGAACGCCAAACAGGAAGGAAUACCUUUCCCAAUAAAUGUCAAUUGAAUGUAACCCAGAGAGAAAUAGAAAGGAACUUCUGUCUAUGUAUUAAUUGUCGGGAUGUUUUGGUGUGAAAUUCAGCUACACUGGCAUCAGAGAAUUGACAUUCAGGGGAAAAUCCUAUACUUUAAAGGAUAUAGGGGACCAUACUUUCAUGAGUAUUGUUUUUUUUGGGGGGAGUUGACUUUUUUUUUUUUUGCCACACUCACGACACAGGGAAGUUCUCAGGCUAGGGGUCAAAGUGGAGCUAUAGCUGCUAGCCACAGUCACAGCCACAGCCACAUGGGAUCCAAGCCAUGUCUGCUACCUAUGCCACAGCUCACGACAACACCAGACCCUUAACGCACUAAUCAAGGCCAGGGGUCAAACCCAAGUCCUCAUGGAUACUAGCUGGGUUCGUUACUGCUGAGCUGUGACAGGAACUCCUCAUGGGUAUUGUUUUAUGAGGGAAGUAGUUUUCUGCAAUUGUGACAUAAUAAAUGGCAUUAUAGAAAAUAUUAAAUAUGUAAAUACAGGAGUCUUAAAAAAAUUAUAUCAGUACUAUGUGAGAUAUAUGUGUUCUGUACCUAUUUUUAUUAUAAAAAUGAUUGUUCAUACUUGGAAAUUGUAUUAAAUCUGUAAAUAAAUUCAGUAGUCAUAAACCAAAAAAAUUACAUCAGAACUAUGUGAGAAUAUAUGUGUUCUGUACCUAUUUUUAUUAUAAAAAUGACAGUUCAUAUUUGGGAAUUGCACAUUGUUAGCAUAACAAUUGUGACUCCCUAGUACAUGUGCAGCAAUGUAUAUAAAACUGACCCACAGAAUAUCUGCAUUGAGUCUUUGAAUCAUUACAAUGCUACAUAAAUUAUAAUUGAAGUACAUGUUUCAUUAUUUUAGUAUGAAAUCUUUUUUUUUUUUUUUUUGCCUUUUGUCUUUUUAGAGCUGCACCUGCGGCAUGUGGAGGUUACCAGGCUAGGGCUCUCAUUGGAGCUAUAGCUGCCGGCCACAGCCACAGCCACAGCAAUGCCAGAUCUGAGCCGCAUCUGUGAUCUACACCACAGCUUACAGCAACGCCGGAUCCUUAACCCACUGAGCAAGGCCAGGGAUGGAACCUGCAACCUCAUGGUUCUUAAUCAGAUUCAUUUCCUCUGCGCCAUGACGGGAACUCCUUAGUAUGAAAUCUUAAUAAUACUGAAUAUCUCUCAACACCUCUCCCACCAUGUCCCACUAUUUGCUGGUAUUAGUAAGUGGGCCUGGAAAUUUUUCUUUUUCUUUCUCUUAUUACGGCCGCACUUGUGGCAUAUGGAAGUUCCCAGGCUAGGGGUCAAAUCAGAGCUGCAGAUGCCAGCCUACACCACAGCCACAGUAACACCAGAUCCAAGCCAUGUCUGUGACCUCUGCUGCAGCUGUGGCAAUCCCAGAUCCUUAACCCACUGAGCAAGGCUAGAGAUCAAACCUGCAUCCUCAAGGACACCAUAUUGGGUUUUUAACCCGCUAAGCCACUACAGGAACUCUGGUCCUGGAAAUUUUUGAGCCUCUCUUGAGUAAAACCUUUUCCAUCGAUUCUAAGGUGGAAAAAUUUUCCCAUGGAUUAAUAAUGCUGAAGUUACCACAGACCUAGAGAUUAUCAUACUAAGUAAGGCAGACAAAGACAGAUGUCGUAUGAUACUUCUUAUAUGUGGAAUCUAAAAAAAAAAAAAAAAAAUAGAAAUGAACCUAUUUACAAAAUAGAGA